AUUGAACGCUGGCGGCAUGCUUUACACAUGCAAGUCGAACAGCAGCACGGGCUUCGGCCUGGUGGCGAGUGGCGAACGGGUGAGUAAUGCAUCGGAACGUGCCCAUGUCGUGGGGGAUAACGUAUCGAAAGGUACGCUAAUACCGCCUACGCCCUGAGGGGGAAAGCGGGGGAUUCUUCGGAACCUCGCGCGAUUGGAGCGGCCGAUGUCGGAUUAGCUAGUCGGUGGGGUAAAGGCUCACCAAGGCGACGAUCCGUAGCGGGUCUGAGAGGAUGAUCCGCCACACUGGGACUGAGACACGGCCCAGACUCCUACGGGAGGCAGCAGUGGGGAAUUUUGGACAAUGGGCGCAAGCCUGAUCCAGCCAUGCCGCGUGAGUGAAGAAGGCCUUCGGGUUGUAAAGCUCUUUCGGCCGGGAAGAAAUCGCACUCUCUAACAUAGGGUGUGGAUGACGGUACCGGACUAAGAAGCACCGGCUAACUACGUGCCAGCCGCCGCGGUAAAAC
rnacentral:rRNA from 1 species